CGCAAAGAACGGAGAGGAUGAAUCCUGCAGAAUAAAUGCUAAAUGAAAUGGCCAAUGGUGUGUAUUGCACCGUUAUAUAUGUUUUUGAGUGAUUCAACCAUGUCAAGUCCAAACUUCUUUCGGAAGGGAGUCCAUUGGUGGACAUCAAUUGGAAUGUGGCACAUGUGUACAUAGUCUUUCACUGGCAGUGACUCAUUCUGAUUCGACGAUAGGCAGGGGAACUAACAAGGGCGAAUCCAUGCCUGCUGUCACGGAGAUUUUUAGGACUAGAUUGGUGCCUUUUCUUUAUGAGAGGGGCUGGCGUAGAGGUUUGUCAGUAUUGCUUGGUUUUCCUGGCCGAAAAGGAGGUGAUAAGUAUAGGCUCGAUAUUAGAAACUGGAUCAGUCGAUUAAUACCAAUGCAAAGUCCGAGAGAUGUCCUAGUGCUUUGUCUUAGAAUGUUUUAUUACAUGUAGGGGGAGGGAAUUCAAAUUUACACCCUACGAAGGAAGGCCCUAGUGUUGAAAUUUUUUAUUCAAUAUGUGGUUAUGUUGCCAAUGCUAAGCACAUGAUGUUUUCAUUGGAGUUUGAGUUGAUAAAAGAUUUCAGGCACCAGUCUUAGGUGGAAACGUAAUUGAUGCAAGUUGUGAAAGUGGAAUGUUUUCAGGAAUCGUGCUGCCAAGACUGAGUUAUUUUCCUCUAUUGUUGCUUUGGGCUACUCGGAGAACAUGUUAUAUGAAUCAUUAAACAAGAGAAAAACUUCCCUCAGAGAAAAAGUAUUUUCUUUGUUCUAUCUUUAAUGAUUAGUAGCACAAUUACUAUAGUUAAAGGAUCUUUGUGUAGUAUAUUUAUAUUGUUGUUUGAGAUUU